GAUGAACGCUGGCGGCGUGCUUAACACAUGCAAGUCGAACGGUGAACGAGGGAGCUUGCUCCCUCCGGAUCAGUGGCGAACGGGUGAGUAACACGUGAGCAAUCUGCCCUGGACUCUGGGAUAAGCGUUGGAAACGACGUCUAAUACCGGAUACGAGGCGUGGGGGCAUCCCCAACGCCUGGAAAGAACUUCGGUCCAGGAUGAGCUCGCGGCCUAUCAGCUUGUUGGUGAGGUAACGGCUCACCAAGGCGACGACGGGUAGCCGGCCUGAGAGGGUGACCGGCCACACUGGGACUGAGACACGGCCCAGACUCCUACGGGAGGCAGCAGUGGGGAAUAUUGCACAAUGGGCGCAAGCCUGAUGCAGCAACGCCGCGUGAGGGACGACGGCCUUCGGGUUGUAAACCUCUUUUAGCAGGGAAGAAGCGAAAGCGACGGUACCUGCAGAAAAAGCACCGGCUAACUACGUGCCAGCCGCCGCGGUAAGAC
rnacentral:rRNA from 1 species